AAAGACCGUAGUUUUUUCUGUUUAUGUUUAGCGUUUGACCGUCCGCUUUAUUUGAAAUUCUUUUAUGAUUAGUAUUUUUAUUGUUAUUAGAUAAUAAAACAUAAAUAAUACUUUAUGUAUGACUAAUUGUUUUCUAAAUUUUUUCAUAAAUUUUUUAAAUAAGACGUACGGCGUUAGACACAAAAACUACUACACAUGAG
rnacentral:pre_miRNA from 1 species